AUGUUUGUUUGGAAUGAGAACCUGUGUUGUUGGUUGUUCUCAAUAGUUAGCUUGAUACGUGCUCCUGGAUUUUCACCCUUCUUUGGUCUUUCCCUCUGCAUCUCUCCUAAAAGAAGCUUUAUCUCGAGCACUGAAGCAUAAUUUCGCAAAUUCAAGAAAGUUGUGUUCAAGAUUUUCUGGUGUGGUGAUUCUUAUUGUAUCUAGCUCGACAUUUCAGAGGCUUUGCAAGCAAUGGAGUAGUAUGAAUUUCUUAUGGUAUUCGUUUCCGGAGUCAAAAGGUUGUUGAGAUGCUUUUCUUGGGGGAGGAGCACAGCUGUAAUUCUUGAUGUUGAGGAGAAGACAAUUUAAGAAAUGUCACCCUCACUGUAUUCAAUAAUCCGAGUGAGCGGCCUUUCACCUUUGAGGAGAUACAUGAAGUUCGAGAAAUGUUGGUAAACUUUAUUACCAGUGACUGUCUUUGAUAUUUUCUUGUACUGAAUCUUAAAUUAUGGAUGCUAGUUGUUCAUAUGAUUGCAAUGUAAUCGACUUUUAUAUUUACAAUUAUAUACUU